CCUACGGGUGGCAGCAGUGGGGAAUAUUGGACAAUGGGGGGAACCCUGAUCCAGCCAUGCCGCGUGUGUGAAGAAGGCCCUCGGGUUGUAAAGCACUUUCAGUGAGGAAGAACGCCUGGUGGUUAAUACCCAUCAGGAAAGACAUCACUCACAGAAGAAGCACCGACUAACUCCGUGCCAGCAGCCGCGGUAAUACGGAGGGUGCGAGCGUUAAUCGGAAUUACUGGGCGUAAAGCGCGCGUAGGUGGCUUGAUAAGCCGGUUGUGAAAGCCCCGGGCUCAACCUGGGAACGGCAUCCGGAACUGUCAAGCUAGAGUGCAGGAGAGGAAGGUAGAAUUCCCGGUGUAGCGGUGAAAUGCGUAGAGAUCGGGAGGAAUACCAGUGGCGAAGGCGGCCUUCUGGACUGACACUGACACUGAGGUGCGAAAGCGUGGGUAGCAAACAGGAUUAGAUACCCUUGUAGUC
rnacentral:rRNA from 1 species